rnacentral:rRNA from 1 species
CCUACGGGGAGCAGCAGUGAGGAAUAUUGGUCAAUGGGCGCGAGCCUGAACCAGCCAAGUAGCGUGAAGGAUGACGGCCCUACGGGUUGUAAACUUCUUUUAUACGGGAAUAAAGUGAGGCACGUGUGCCUUUUUGUAUGUACUUUAUGAAUAAGCAUCGGCUAACUCCGUGCCAGCAGCCGCGGUAAUACGGAGGAUCCGAGCGUUAUCCGGAUUUAUUGGGUUUAAAGGGUGCGUAGAUGGUUUGUUAAGUCAGUUGUGAAAGUUUGCGGCUCAACCGUAAAAUUGCAAUUGAUACUGGUAGUCUUGAGUAUAGUUGAGGUAGGCGGAAUUCGUGGUGUAGCGGUGAAAUGCUUAGAUAUCACGAAGAACUCCGAUUGCGAAGGCAGCUUACUAAACUGCCACUGACAUUGAUGCUCGAAAGUGUGGGUAUCAAACAGGAUUAGAUACCCGAGUAGUC